AGUUGAAAGGAACUAAGUUGUAUGAAAGACAUCUGUUAACCUUCUCACGUCAUCUGCAGAGUAGGAAAACUGAAUUAGAAUCUCAGGUUCACCUCCUUUUUGUAUUAAUGUUGCGCCUGAUUUUGAUACUUAUAUUUGUGUCAAAGACCAUCUUAAUACCCAAGCUGUCCCAUUGACUGUGAAAAGAAUAGGACAACAUGCAAAGUAAGCUUUUCCAGGACAUGAGGUAGUUUAAGAAGUUACAAUAAAGGCAUAUAUGCUCCAUCAAGGGAAAUGAAAAAUCUAUCCCCAAAAGAGGGAAUGAGUCCUGAAGAUAUAGGAUUGAAGAGAGCCCUAUCUUGAGCCAUGGACAAGGAGAUCAAGCUGGGGCUUAUGCAGUGUGCUCUCGAUCACCUGACUCUUCACUUCCACCAGUUGAGUCUUCAGGCUGUAUCUGCACCUGGACCCGAUGGCCCUCUUGUUCACAUCCCCAGCCUGUGCAUGAACUGAAACAACACCUGGGUGUCAAUUAACUCAAACCACACGAUAAAGAGAUGAGCCCAACCUGACUGGAAAAUCAUACCAAAAGAACUACAAAACUUAGAGAAUUGGGGUAAUGGAAACAAGAUGAAAUUCAACAAUUAAACAAAUUCAAGCGCCUGCAUGUAGGGAUGACUAACGAGAACUUCUGCUGUCGACUGAGAGCUCUUCAUUUGGAAAUGACUGAGGAGGAGAGAAUUGGAUAUCCUAAUUGAUCACAGGAUAAUUAUGAGAUGCCAAUGUGGUGCAGCCAGAUGAGAUCCUAGAAUGUGCAGGCAAGGAAGUGCCAGAAAAAAUGGGUAGUAUGAAUGUACAAGGGACUGGUAUAACCUAAUAAGGAAUACUGCAGAUCUGUGUCGAAGAAGGAUGAACCUGGGACUAGUGGGGGGACUGGGGAAGUGAAGAACCUGUUAAUGUCUGUCAGUAUGUGUCAGGAGCAGGGAUGGACUAACAGCUCAGCCCUGUUCCCAGCACUGUCUUGGAAAUGGGGGAGGGGGGCAGGGAAUGUAGCUUAACAUCCUGUGUGUUGGUUUUAGUGGUCAGGCAGAGAGAGUCUUCAAGUCACUCUAAUUCCUAACUGGUAAUUAGUAGUGUUUGGCAUUA